rnacentral:rRNA from 1 species
CGGCAGGCCUAAUACAUGCAAGUCGAACGGUAACAUUUCUAGCUUGCUAGAAGAUGACGAGUGGCGAACGGGUGCGUAACGCGUAUGUAAUCUACCUUUAACAGAGGAAUAGCCCAGAGAAAUUUGGAUUAAUACCUCAUAAUAUUACAAAACGGCAUCGUUUUAUAAUUAAAACUCCGGUGGUUAAAGAUGAGCAUGCGUCCUAUUAGUUAGUUGGUGAGGUAACGGCUUACCAAGACAAUGAUAGGUAGGGGGCCUGAAAGGGUGAUCCCCCACACUGGUACUGAGACACGGACCAGACUCCUACGGGAGGCAGCAGUAAGGAAUAUUGCACAAUGGAGGAAACUCUGAUGCAGCCAUGCCGCGUGCAGGAAGACUGCCCUAUGGGUUGUAAACUGCUUUUCUACAAGAAGAAACCCCAGUACGUGUACUGGCUUGACGGUAUUGUAGGAAUAAGCACCGG